rnacentral:rRNA from 1 species
UACAGAGGUCUCAAGCGUUGUUCGGAUUCAUUGGGCGUAAAGGGUGCGUAGGCGGCGCGGUAAGUCGGGUGUGAAAUCUUGGAGCUUAACUCCGAAACUGCAUUCGAUACUGCCGUGCUUGAGGACUGGAGAGGAGACUGGAAUUUACGGUGUAGCGGUGAAAUGCGUAGAUAUCGGGAGGAACACCAGUGGCGAAAGCGGCUACCUGGCCCAUUCUUGACGCUGAGGCGCGAAAGCUAGGGGAGCAAACGGG